CCUACGGGAGGCAGCAGUGGGGAAUAUUGGACAAUGGGGGGAACCCUGAUCCAGCCAUGCCGCGUGUGUGAAGAAGGCCCUCGGGUUGUAAAGCACUUUCAGUGAGGAAGAACGCCUGGUGGUUAAUACCCAUCAGGAAAGACAUCACUCACAGAAGAAGCACCGGCUAACUCCGUGCCAGCAGCCGCGGUAAUACGGAGGGUGCGAGCGUUAAUCGGAAUUACUGGGCGUAAAGCGCGCGUAGGUGGCUUGAUAAGCCGGUUGUGAAAGCCCCGGGCUCAACCUGGGAACGGCAUCCGGAACUGUGAAGCUAGAGUGCAGGAGAGGAAGGUAGAAUUCCCUGUGUAGCGGUGAAAUGCGUAGAGAUCGGGAGGAAUACCAGUGGCGAAGGCGGCCUUCUGGACUGACACUGACACUGAGGUGCGAAAGCGUGGGUAGCAAACAGGAUUAGAUACCCUAGUAGUC
rnacentral:rRNA from 1 species